UACAGAGGGGGCAAGCGUUGUUCGGAAUUACUGGGCGUAAAGGGCGCGUAGGCGGCCUUCUAAGUCGAACGUGAAAUCCCCGGGCUCAACCCGGGAACUGCGUCCGAUACUGGAAGGCUUGAAUCCGGGAGGGGGAUGUGGAAUUCCAGGUGGUAGCGGUGAAAAUGCGUAGAUAUCUGGAGGAACACCGGUGGCGAAGGCGGCAUCCUGGACCAAUAUUGACGCUGACGGAGCGAAAGCUAGGGGAGCAAACGGGAGUUAAG
rnacentral:rRNA from 1 species